GACGAACGCUGGCGGCGUGCCUAACACAUGCAAGUUGAGCGACGAACCAGGGCUUGCCCUGGGGCAAAGCAGCGAACGGGUGAGUAACACGUGGGUAACCUACCCCGAUAACCGGGACAACCCGAGGAAACUCGGGCUAAUACCGGAUGUGCUCACUGGACUUCGGUUCAGUGCGUAAAGGAAGCUUCGGCCUCCGUAUCGGGAGGGGCCCGCGGCCCAUUAGUUUGUUGGUGAGGUAACGGCUCACCAAGACCGCGAUGGGUAGCUGGUCUGAGAGGACGAUCAGCCACACUGGGACUGAGACACGGCCCAGACUCCUACGGGAGGCAGCAGUGGGGAAUCUUGCGCAAUGCGCGAGAGCGUGACGCAGCAACGCCGCGUGGGGGAAGAAGGCCUUCGGGUUGUAAACCCCUUUCAGGAGGGACGAAGGUUCGGCGGUGAAUAGCCGUCCGGACUGACGGUACCUCCACAAGAAGCCCCGGCUAACUACGUG
rnacentral:rRNA from 1 species